UGAGAGGACUCUCGCAAUAUUACUUUUUUAAUUUAUAAUUUAUGUUUGUUUAACUAUUGUUAAAACCCGUUGCUAUGGACGCACUGCAAUGUCAAAACUUUCAAUACAAAGUCAAUUACAAUUGAAUAUUUCGGUAAAUGACAGACAUAAACGAAACAUUAUAAACUAAACAGCGGUGUUAAUAAGAGAAAAAUAAAAUUUAAAAAAAUCUUACAACAGAAAGUGUAUUGUGCUCCAAUCAAAAUUAAAAAGAAAAAAACUUAUCUCCUCAAUUGCAUAAACAAUCUCUGAUAAUGUAAAUAAAGUAAAUACAAGUAAAAGGCGUUAAAAACUAAAACAACUUGAAUCGAUUUUUCUACUACAAUUGUUUUUUUUUUUCUAUUAAGAGAAACUUACUUCAUUAAGCAGUUGAAAAGUCAUAUCCAAGGAUAAUAACUUCAUAAAUCGAAAUAGUUUCCUUUUAACGUUCUAACAACUAAAAAUUCAAAAGAUAAACGUCGUUCCGUUUAUCAAUCUGAUUAUCUUGACAUACGUUUAAAACGUACCAUGAGUGAUGAAGAGUCAGAAAUUAAUAAUGAAAUCGAAAAUGAGGAACAAGUUGAGUCGGAAGAACAAGAGAAUGAUAUUAAUAAUG